rnacentral:rRNA from 1 species
CCGCAACCCCAGGUCAGG